rnacentral:piRNA from 1 species
UAUGUCAGGACAAACUGUGCACGAGCAUU